rnacentral:rRNA from 1 species
CGGUAAUUCCAGCUCCAAUAGCGUAUACUAAAGUUGUUGCAGUUAAAAAGCUCGUAGUUGGAUUUCUGCGCGGGCGGGGCGGCAGCGGGCUCUUAAACCUGUCUUGCUAGCACCUCCCGCGCAUCCUGCCGCGACCCACGCUACCAUUCACUUGGUGGCGUCUGGCGACCGGCUCGUUUACUUUGAGAAAAAUAGAGUGUUCAAAGCAGGCAUCUCGCCUUGAAUAAUGUAGCAUGGAAUAAUGAUAAAGGACUUUGGUUCUAUUUUGUUGGUGUUCGGGACUGAAGUAAUGAUUGAUAGGGACAGUUGGGGGCGUCUGUAUUCUGAAGCGAGAGGUGAAAUUCUUAGACCUUCGGAAGACAAACAGCUGCGAAAGCGUUCGCCAAGGAUGUUCCCUUUGAUCAAGAACGAAAGUUGGGGGAUCGAAGACGAUCAGAUACCGUCGUAGUCUCAACUAUAAACUAUACCAGCUAGGGAUCGGCCAACGUUGAUUCCAAAAGACUUGGUCGGCACCUUAUGAGAAAUCAAAGCAUCUGGGUUCCGGGGGGAGUAUGGUCGCAAGGCUGAAACUUAAAGGAAUUGACGGAAGGGCACCACCAGGCAUGGAGCCUGUGGCUUAAUUUGGCUCAACACGGGGAAACUUACCAGGUCCAGACAUGAGAAGGAUUGACAGAUUGACAGCUCUUUCUUGAUUUUAUGGGUGGUGGUGCAUGGCCGUUCUUAGUUGGUGGAGUGAUUUGUCUGGUUAAUUCCGUUAACGAACGAGACCCCAGCCUGCUAAAUAGCGCGCGUGGCCUCUGGCCGCGGCGAGCUUCUUAGAGGGACUAUGGCUUCGUUAUAGGCCAGGGAAGUUUGGGGCAAUAACAGGUCUGUGAUGCCCUUAGAUGUUCUGGGCCGCACACGGGCUACACUGACGCGUGCAACGAGCAUAUCAGCUGGCCCGAAAGGGUGUGGGCUAAUCUUUUGAAUUCGCGUCGUGCUAGGGAUCGACUAUUGCAAUUGUUAGUCGUGCAACGAGGAAUGCCUUGUAAACGCGAGUCAUCAACUCGCAUUGAAUACGUCCCUGCCCCUUGUACACACCGCCC